GACGAACGCUGGCGGCGUGCUUAACACAUGCAGGUCGAACGGAAAGGCCCUGCUUUUGUGGGGUGCUCGAGUGGCGAACGGGUGAGUAACACGUGAGUAACCUGCCCUUGACUUUGGGAUAACUUCAGGAAACUGGGGCUAAUACCGGAUAGGAGCUCCUGCUGCAUGGUGGGGGUUGGAAAGUUUCGGCGGUUGGGGAUGGACUCGCGGCUUAUCAGCUUGUUGGUGGGGUAGUGGCUUACCAAGGCUUUGACGGGUAGCCGGCCUGAGAGGGUGACCGGCCACAUUGGGACUGAGAUACGGCCCAGACUCCUACGGUAGGCAGCAGUGGGGAAUAUUGCACAAUGGGCGGAAGCCUGAUGCAGCAACGCCGCGUGCGGGAUGACGGCCUUCGGGUUGUAAACCGCUUUCGCCUGUGACGAAGCGUGAGUGACGGUAAUGGGUAAAGAAGCACCGGCUAACUACGUG
rnacentral:rRNA from 1 species